AGGAGUCAGCCCGGCCACUAUUGGAUCUGAGACCCUCCCCAAACUCUAGGAGGGUGCAAUAGGAAUUUUCCGCAAUGCACGUAAAGUGGACGAAGCGACGCCGCGCGUUGUCUGAUGAAGGCUUUCGGUCGUAAAGCCACUGUCGUAAGGGAAGAUAACUGAAUUCAGAGAAAAUUUUCAGCUUGACGGUACCUUACCAGAAAGGGAUGGCUAAAUACGUGCCAGCAGCCGCGGUAAUACGUAUGUCCCGAGCGUUAUCCGGGAUUUAUUGGGCGUAAAGCGAGCGCAGACGGGUUUAUUAAGUCUGAUGUGAAUCCCGAGGCCCAACCUCGGAAACUGCAUUGGAAACUGAUUUACUUGAGUGCGAUAGAGGCAAGUGGAACUCCAUGUGUAGCGGUGAAAUGCGUAGAUAUGUGGAAGAACACCAGUGGCGAAAGCGGCUUGCUAGAUCGUAACUGACGUUGAGGCUCGAAAGUAUGGGUAGCAAACGGGAUUAGAUACCCCGGUAGUCCAUACCGUAAACGAUGGGUGCUAGUUGUUAAGAGGUUUCCGCCUCCUAGUGACGUAGCAAACGCAUUAAGCACCCCGCCUGAGGAGUACGGCCGCAAGGCUAAAACUUAAAGGAAUUGACGGGGACCCGCACAAGCGGUGGAGCAUGUGGUUUAAUUCGAAGAUACGCGAAAAACCUUACCAGGUCUUGACAUACCAAUGAUCGCUUUUGUAAUGAAAGCUUUUCUUCGGAACAUUGGAUACAGGUGGUGCAUGGUCGUCGUCAGCUCGUGUCGUGAGAUGUUGGGUUAAGUCCCGCAACGAGCGCAACCCUUGUUAUUAGUUGCCAGCAUUUAGUUGGGCACUCUAAUGAGACUGCCGGUGAUAAACCGGAGGAAGGUGGGGACGACGUCAGAUCAUCAUGCCCCUUAUGACCUGGGCAACACACGUGCUACAAUGGGAAGUACAACGAGUCGCAAACCGGCGACGGUAAGCUAAUCUCUUAAAACUUCUCUCAGUUCGGACUGGAGUCUGCAACUCGACUCCACGAAGGCGGAAUCGCUAGUAAUCGCGAAUCAGCAUGUCGCGGUGAAUACGUUCCCGGGUCUUGUACACACCGCCCGUCAAAUCAUGGGAGUCGGAAGUACCCAAAGUCGCUUGGCUAACUUUUAGAGGCCGGUGCCUAAGGUAAAAUCGAUGACUGGGAUAAGUCGAACAAGAGCUGACGA
rnacentral:rRNA from 1 species